rnacentral:rRNA from 1 species
UACAGAGGGUGCGAGCGUUGUCCGGAAUCACUGGGCGUAAAGGGCGCGUAGGCGGCUUGAUAAGCGUGCGGUGAAAGCCCGGGGCUCAACCCCGGGUCGGCCGUGCGAACUGUCGAGCUGGAGCACUGUAGAGGCAGGUGGAAUUCCGGGUGUAGCGGUGGAAUGCGUAGAGAUCCGGAAGAACACCGGUGGCGAAGGCGGUGAGCUGGGCAGUUGCUGACACUGAGGCGCGACAGCGUGGGGAGCAAACAGG